rnacentral:rRNA from 1 species
AAUUUUGGUGCCAUUUCCCUUAUCCCCAAAAUAGUUGGGGUGAUGGAUAUUAGACACUUUAGGCCGAUAAUGGUGAUUAACGUUCUGGAGCGAAUUUUCGCGAAGGUGGGUGCGAUCCGCUUGGCCCCCGUGGCCGAAUGGAUUGCCCACCCUCUCCAUUUCGUGUUCCUGAAGGGGCACCGUAUCCAUGAUGGGAUCUUGGCCCUGCAUGAGAUCGUCCACAAGGUGGCAUCACGGGGCCAUAAGGGCGUCUUUCUCAAGCUGGAUUCCCAUAAGGCAUACGAUCACCUAGAUUGGUCCUUCUUGAGGUUGGUAAUGUAG